rnacentral:rRNA from 1 species
CCCUUAGAUGUUCUGGGCUGCACGCGCGCUACACUGAUGCGUUCAACGAGUUUACGACCUUGCCAGACAUGGCUGGGUAAUCUUCUUAAACUGCAUCGUGAUGGGGAUAGAUUAUUGCAAUUAUUGAUCUUCAACGAGGAAUUCCUAGUAAGCGCGAGUCAUCAGCUCGUGCUGAUUACGUCCCUGCCCUUUGUACACACCGCCCGUCGCACCUACCGAUUGAAUGGUCCGGUGAAAUCUCGGGACGGCGGCUUGGUCGCUUGCGUCCGACUGCUGAAACUUGAUUAAACCAUAUCAUUUAGAGGAAGGUGAAGUCGUAACA